rnacentral:lncRNA from 1 species
CCAAGGGUCAAAGAUAAAAGAUUUACGAGAUAUGGAACCGCAAAGUUCCGUUUGUUGCAAACGGUGCAUGCGGUCUGCCGUUGUGCCUGGCCUCGCCACUGAUUGCGACGCGACGCGUCCCGUUCUCGUGCUCCGCUACCUAUGCCGCCUAGAUGCCUCCGUAUCUCGUAAACCUUUGACCCCUGGUCCACUAGGGAUUUUUUGCGCAUUUAAAUUCCCCCUUUCGAUCUGUACCAUUUUCGCCGUGUUUCAGUAGGGCAAAAAUUGUACCUUCUUGUCCAUUUUAAGUAUCGCGUCCCUCUAAAUAAAUUAGCAAAUAUCGUUUUGUACCAUUCUGGGUAAGAUUCUACUUUGACUGCCUUGCGUUUUCGCGUCUGAUCCCGGUAUGACGCGUCUGUGAAUAAUAAGUCGCGUUAUAGUGCGCUUUAAUUAAUGCCUGUCGCUUUUUUCGUUCUCGAUAAAGCAGAUGUCGAUAUGCACGCGCAAUCCGCGGAAACGCAAGACAGACAAGGUAGGGCAAAAUAGUAGAUUACCUGCUGGUGAAAGAGUAUCGCGUCGCAUGCAACAGCGCGACUUCUUUCAUCAAGCUUUUUUAAUAAAUAUAUAUCGAACAUCGACUAAGACGGAUCUUUAAACCAAAGAUUACUCUUAACCGAUCUCUAAAUCGCAUUCUGAGAAAGCAUAUAUAUAUAUAUAUUAAAAAACUCUGCUAUAUAGGCGACGCCGCGCUGCUAAACGCAACGCGACACGUCUU